AUGUUGGCGCAAGGAAUUAUCGUACCCAGCACCAGUCCGUUUGCUUCACCAGUUCUGCUGGUACAGAAAAAAGACCUAACAUGGCGUUUUUGCGUGGAUUAUCGGCACCUCAACGCAGUGACAGUUAAGAACCGGUUCCCUCUACCGGUGAUCGAUGAGCUCCUGGAUGAACUUGCGGGGUCCAAGUUUUUCACCACCUUAGACCUGCGGUCGGGGUACCAUCAAAUUCGUAUGAAGCCCGAGGAUGAGCACAAAACUGCCUUCAAAACCCACCACGGCCACUUCGAGUUCCGGGUUCUUUCCUAUGGACUGACAGGCGGUCCGGCGACUUUUCAAGGGGGAAUGAACAUUGUUCUGGCACCAGUCAACCGGAAAGGAGUCCUGGUUUUCAUUGAUGACAUCCUGAUUCACAGCGACACCCUGGAACGACACAUCCAGCUCAUGCGGCAAGUGUUCCAGCUACUUAACGAACACCAACUGAAGAUCAAAUUGAGUAAGUGUUCAUUUGCCAGAACCAGUCUCACCUAUCUGGGGCACGAAAUUAGUGCAGAAGGAGUAAGGACCGACGGCAAGAAUGUGGCUGCAGUUCAGAAGUGGCCAACCCCGACAAAUGUCAAAGAGGUACGCGGGUUCCUUGGAUUAGCAGGCUACUACCGCAAGUUCAUCAAGAACUUUGGCAUCAUCAGCCGGCCACUCACGGAUCUGCUCAAGAAUAACACGGUUUUUCGGUGGACUGAGCUCGAAGCCGCAGCGUUCCAAGAGCUCAAAACUGCACUAGUCACUGCUCCGGUGUUAGCCCUACCGGAUUUCUCGAAGCCGUUUGAGCUUGAAACAGAUGCCUCGGACCGGGGCAUUGGAGCAGUGUUGCGCCAAGGUAACCAUCCAGUGGCGUUCCUCAGCAAAGCUUUGGGUCCCAAGAACCGUGCCUUGUCCACCUACGAAAAAGAAGGCCUGGCAAUCCUUAUGGCAGUGGAGCAAUGGCGUAUUUAUCUGUAG
rnacentral:rRNA from 1 species